AUUGAACGCUGGCGGCAUGCCUAACACAUGCAAGUCGAACGCGAAAGGGCUUCGGCCCGAGUAGAGUGGCGGACGGGUGAGUAAUGCAUGGGAAUCUACCUCGCCGUGGGGGAUAACCCGGGGAAACUCGGGCUAAUACCGCAUACGACCUACGGGUGAAAGGGGGCUUCGGCCCUCGUGGCGAGAUGAGCUCAUGUCCGAUUAGCUAGUUGGCGGGGUAAAGGCCCACCAAGGCGACGAUCGGUAGCUGGUCUGAGAGGAUGAUCAGCCACACUGGGACUGAGACACGGCCCAGACUCCUACGGGAGGCAGCAGUGGGGAAUAUUGGACAAUGGGCGCAAGCCUGAUCCAGCAAUGCCGCGUGUGUGAAGAAGGCCUGCGGGUUGUAAAGCACUUUCAGUGGGGAAGAACGCCUCGGGGUUAAUACCCUCGGGGGUUGACGUUACCCACAGAAGAAGCACCGGCUAACUCCGUGCCAGCCGCCGCGGUAA
rnacentral:rRNA from 1 species